UCAGAUUGCCUGCUCCCGAGCUUAAUUUUUGGUUGAGGACUUGCGCUCCAAGAGGCUGCGUCGUCUUUCCAGGCCUAAAGCUGGGUUUGCUGUCGGGUUUCUCUCCGCCGCUUGUGGUGGUUCCGGGCAGUGAGUGAUUCACGGUAGGGGUUCCGGCCACAAAUUCCAGCAACUGUUCUUCACUCGGAGAUUAGUGGGGACUCACUGUGAAGGCUCGGUCACAACUACAGAUGUGAGCCUUGUAGAAUUGUGGUUGUGCUUCUGAGGUAGCGAGCAGCAUCUUUGUGGUUGUGCUGGCGAAUUCCAUCUCCAGGCAGGGAGACAACAGAGG